rnacentral:misc_RNA from 1 species
UUAACUUAUUAUAUGAUACUCGGACGACAAAAUUACAAGGUUUUGGGGUCCUCUGGCAGGCACUGACCAGCGGUAGCCAGCGGUCCAAAGACGGGCCUGCCAAAGCAACAAUGGUAUUAUAAACAAAGGGUGGGAGAUAUACCCUGAAGGGCAUUUUCUCGGUAAUGAUCCUUCCGCAGCGGAAGUAUGGCUGCUACUUAUAGCAACCCCCCGAUCAACUCUCAACCCAUUAGGGCCAUCUCCAUUUGAUCUGUGAGCCUAUGUCUAGGCUGCUGGUAUUACUUUAAUAGUAAAUCCUAGCACAGUAGAGAUGUUGCCUGCUCAGCAGACUUUUAAUUCUGGCGAACCUGCAAAAACCGUUCACCUACGGAAA